UUCUGUGACUGCGUACCUUUUGUAUAAUGGGUCAGCGACUUAUAUUCUGUAGCAAGGUUAACCGAAUAGGGGAGCCGUAGCGAAAGCGAGUCUUAACUGGGCGUUGAGUUGCAGGGUAUAGACCCGAAACCCGGUGAUCUAGCCAUGGGCAGGUUGAAGGUUGAGUAACAUCAACUGGAGGACCGAACCCACUAACGUUGAAAAGUUAGGGGAUGACCUGUGGCUGGGGGUGAAAGGCCAAUCAAACCGGGAGAUAGCUGGUUCUCCCCGAAAGCUAUUUAGGUAGCGCCUCGGACUUAUUCCUUUGGGGGUAGAGCACUGUUUGGGCUAGGGGGUCAUCCCGACUUACCAACCCCAUGCAAACUCCGAAUACCCAGGAGUACAAUCACGGCAGACAGACGGCGGGUGCUAACGUCCGUCGUCGAGAGGGCAACAACCCAGACCGCCAGCUAAGGUCCCUAAGUCAUGGCUAAGUGGG
rnacentral:rRNA from 1 species